AAAAGGCGUUUAAGACAUACAUGUAUACCUUAAACGACAAGCUUAAUUUUCAUUUAUUUUUAAACUAUUUCGUUCUCAUGUCAGUGCGUCAUGGAUUUUUGACUUGGCCGAGCACCAAUUUGUUAUAAUACACAAACAUUUUCGUUAAUUCUACUAAAAUUUAUAAAGUGCCGAGAAUUUUGUGUCAGUUGCGAUUUUGUGGUCACUCGUGUAUCGUCUUAAAACAUAAAAGAUGUUAUCAAUUAAAUACGAUCCCGUACAUGGGUACGACUAUUCUUAUAAUACAGCCUUUAUCCCAGACUACAAAAUUCAUCGGCCUUACGAUUUUUAUUUUGAUUGGCCGUGGAGAUACCGGGUUUGGUUACCUAACAGGCCCUAUAGGCGAUUUUUGCAUAAGGAGCUUUCCGGUAUCAGAGACAUCAUCUAUAUGUCGUAAAGGAAAUUAGAAGUCAACGAAAUAACAAUAUAUAUUUUUUAAAUAUUUACAAAAAUUUUCGACAUGUUUUGAUUUUAUUAUAUUAAUUUUUUACGUUAAUAAAUUGGUUUAACAAAAUUUACGUUAUAUAAUUCAGCUCCUCUUCUUUAUUUUUGUCACCGAACAAACCUGUAUCUUCAAGAUUUUGUCUUUAUAUUAUUUAUUUUCGUUAUUACCAGUUUUGAAAUUCGAAAUUUUUCGUUUCAUUCGUUUUUAUAUCAAAUUACAAAACAUAAAAUAAAAUAUCUUCAAAAGUACAUGAAAAUUUCGAACUAGCUGUGGAAAAUGAUAGCUAUAAAUUCCGUAAUUUCUUUUGGCGACGUUCCAGAAAAUUUUCUAUAUCUGUUACGUUUCAACAAAAUCAUCACAAAAUCGUCAUUGGUAUUUCUAACAGAACCACGCAACCUGCAUUUUAGAAACUUGUUUAUUAUUAAAAUAAACAGUAAACAUGUAUAAUGUACCACACGAUCUCCAAACGCCGUAUAUACCGCCUUAUAUCAAUAUUAUCGAUUACGAACAUGUGCCUUACACGAAAUAUCACUCUGUAUAUGUUCCUAAUUAUGAUACAUAUAGACCGGUAGAUAAAUACGAUAAAUGGCCUUCUUGGUAUCGAGCUUACUUACAUAUGCCCGAAUUUAGGCACUAUUUGAAUAAUACUCUUAUGAGAGAUGUGGGGAUUCGUAGACAUAAAUACGUCCACACUUAUUGGUAAAACACGAAUAGAAGAAAGAAAAUUUGCGAUUUGCGUUCAAAUUUUGUCAAUUUCAUCAUAAUUUGUAUUUACAAAUAAAUUGCUUUCGUGUAUUUUGGAUAGAAUAUUUAAUUUGAUAAUUUGUUUACUUGGAAUCGGAAUUUUGAUAUAGAAUCAAAUUCUAAAUUACAUUAUCCAUUCGAUACAGUACAAACAUGGAAUAAUUAGUAAAAAAACAAAUUUUACAAUAUUUUCACAGUGAAUACAUUUUUUUAUAAAAUCAAAACCAAAUUUCCACAACAUAAUAAACCAACGAAAAAUCCCGAUGUAAAGCUAGUUUCAUCGAUAAUAUUUUCUAAUCAUUUAUGAACAAAUCCCACCCUCUAUUUUAUAAACGAAACUACGAGGAUAGUUCCAAAAGUACCCGGAAAACAUAAAAAUUUCGGAAAAAAAUGAUGUUAUAUCCUUUUAGCUCCAUAAACUUUUCCCAGCGAUGUUCAAUAAGUGCGAUACCCUCUUCAUGUAAUUCGUAUGAAUAAUUGAGCCUCAUAAACACAUAUCCAAACAUGUUUGUUUCGAUAACGAAGUUGUCGUCUUCAGGGAAAGUGUUAUACCAAAGCUUUAUGUUGCCAAAUGUGAAUAUUUCCGAGCUGGUAUCUGGCAAACUUCCAGUAAGAUUUCUCGCCUAGUGCUUUAGAGAUUUUAUCUUUAUUCUCGAUAAAAAUCUCGACUAAUCUAUUGAGUUUCGUUGUGAAAUCUGUUUAAUCUUUAAAUAAUAAAAAAAAUGCUUGGAUUGCAAUACGACCCUUAUUACCGAUACGAUUUAUGGCCUUAUUCGAAAUACGUUCCCGUUGAUAUACCGGAUUAUAAAAUUAACAGACCUUUGGAUUAUUAUAGCAAAUGGCCGGAAUACUAUCCAAUGUUAUUGCCCGUACCAGAAUUCAGAACGUAUCUGAAUAAUCUUUUACUUAGAGAUUUAAGGCUGAGAAAAUAUCAAUAUACACACACUUAUUGGUGAACAACUAUAUAAAUCGAUUUAUUUAGCUACGAAUUACCAAAAAUAUAUAUUUAAAAUGUUAUUGGAUAUUUAAUAUUGAAAUGCAUGUAAAGAAAAAUAAUAUAACCGAAAAAUAUAAAAUAUUACGUAUCCUCUCAAAGUUUUUUGUCGACUAUUCCGAUUAAUUUUUUUGUUAUUGCAUAAUAAUUAAUCUUUUCGUGUCGUAAAUUUUUGUUCGACGAGAUUUCGUAAUAUUAUAAUGAUAAAACUACGUCGCUUUUUUAUAUUAAAUAUUAACAAAGUAGAAAUUUCGAUUAAAAAUUCAUCAAAAGACAAGUUUUCUAUUGUGGCCGCAUAAAAACCCUAGUCGAGAUUAUAUUCCAUUUGAUCGAGCUUCUUAAUUCGGGGACUCAUCACUUUAUCUGAGAUUGAGAUUUUGCUGUAGACAGAACAGAUUUUCUCUAUCGUUUGUCGACUCAAUUCAUCCACAAUCUAAUAUCCACGAUUUCUAUUGCAUUUCGAGGCGUUUCCAAUAAGAAAAUCAUUUAAACCAAUAUUAAAAUAAGACAGUCUCAUUAAAAUUAAUGAAUAAUUUCGGUUCCAAUUUGAUGAGACACUCGAAUUAAAAUUCGCAAACUAUCAAAUAAAAGUAGAAAUUUCGAUUAAAAAAUUGAUCAAAAGACAAGUUUUCUAUUGUGGCCGCAUAAAAACAAUCGUCCAGAUUAUGUUCCAUUUGAUCGAACGUCUCAAUUCAGGGACUCAUCACUUUAUCUGAGAUUUAUCCCUUGUCAAAUCGAUUCAUUCAUAAUCCACGAUUUCUAUUGCAUUUCCAACAAGAAAAUCAUUUUUUAAUUUAAUUGAUAUAAUUGUAUAUAUUUGCAAGAUGUUUUGAAAAUUUCGAUGACAAUUUGAUGAGGCACUCGAAUUUAAAAUCGCAAGCUAACGGUUUUUACAAUUGUCAAAUAAAAGUAAAAUUUUCGAUUAACAGAUUCAUCAGAAGACAAUUUUUCUAUUGUGACCGCAUAAAACCCUCGUCGAGGCUAUACUUCGUUCGAUCGAGCUUGUUAAUUCUGACACUCAUCAUUUUAUCUGUGAUUGGGGUUUUGCUGUAGAUAGAACAGAUUUUCUUUAAUCGUUUGUCAACUCAAUUCAUCCACAAUCUAAUAUACACGAUUUCUAUUGCAUUUCCACUAAGAAAAUCAUUUAAAACCAAUAUUAGAAUAAGACAGCUUCAUUAAAAUUGAUGAUUUAAUAAGAAAACUGUGAAAUAAAAGUAGAAUUUUCGUAAUUUACAUUAUUCGAAAGGAUUUGUUAUUAAUUGGAGGGUUGUAUCUUGGUAACUAAGAGCUGCUUUUUGUCUCAAAUUGUAAACUGUCGAUAAAAGUUUUGCUUAUAGUUUCAAAAGUGAAUAUAUACAACUGAUAAUUCUGUAAACAGAGUUAGCUAUUUCAAUAAAUGUCGUGCUAGUGGAAUCGCAAAAGAAUCCUGAAUCAAAUACGUGAGUCACGACGCGUCCUAAAAAUAUUUCAAGCUUAUUUUCAUUGUGAAAAUAACCCAAAAUAAACACACCUACAUUAUUUAUAUAAUAUGAAUCAACUCCAAGUAUUUUAAGGUUAUUACAAUCGUCGGAAUACAAUAAGUUUGUAACGAAAAAAAUGUAUACUGGCCGUUAUCCAAAAAUUCACACUUAAAAUUUUACGUCUUUUGAAAAAUAAAUGCAUUCGUUUGGAUAGUGUUUAGUGUUUGUGUGUGGUCUCUGUUGGAAUAGCAGGUAACUAAAAUUGAAAUGGUGAGACUAGAAACUAGGUACGAUCCUAUACAUGGAUACAAUUAUACUUAUUGGCCGGACUCUAAAUAUUUCAGAAAUUAUCAAUUUGCUCCUCCAAUAUCUUGGGUAGACGAUUGGACCAGAAGAUCGCGUGUAUGGUUUCCUUAUUAUUGGUCUACCAACAGAUUAUUUUACCAUUAUAAUGAUUACCGGCCAUCGAUAAGAUCUCUUCGAGAACAACGACUAAGACACAACUUAUACUUUUAGACCCGAUUAAAAAUCAAACGUUCAAAUUAUAUUGUAACUAUUUUUUGUAAUAAAUUUUGAAAAUCUA